AUUGAACGCUGGCGGCAUGCCUUACACAUGCAAGUCGAACGGCAGCACGGGGCAACCUGGUGGCGAGUGGCGAACGGGUGAGUAAUGUAUCGGAACGUACCUUUCAGUGGGGGAUAACGUAGCGAAAGUUACGCUAAUACCGCAUAUUCUGUGAGCAGGAAAGCAGGGGAUCGCAAGACCUUGCGCUGAUUGAGCGGCCGAUGUCAGAUUAGCUAGUUGGUGAGGUAAAGGCUCACCAAGGCGACGAUCUGUAGCGGGUCUGAGAGGAUGCUCCGCGCACCUGGAACGGGUACACGGUCCAGACUCCUACGGGAGGAAGCAGGGGGGAAUUUUGGACAAUAGGGGCAACCCUGAUCCAGCCAUGCCGCGUGAGUGAAGAAGGCCUUCGGGUUGUAAAGCGCUUUCGGCCGGGAAGAAAUCGCACGGGCUAAUACCCUGUGUGGAUGACGGUACCGGAAUAAGAAGCACCGGCUAACUACGUGCCAGCCGCCGCAGUAACAC
rnacentral:rRNA from 1 species